AGGCUGAGGAAUCGAACCCCUGACCUCUGGCACUGUAGUCCAACCUCUUACCCACUUAGCCACCCAGUC